UUCUUUUUUUUGCAUGUGGCUAUUCAAUUGUUGAAGUGUCAUGGCACCCUUGUCAAAAAUCAAUUGACCAUUAAUGUAGAGAUUUAUUUUGGGACUUUCAGUUUUGUUCCAUCGAUCUAUGUUCCUAUCCUUAUGCUAGUACCACCUGUCUUGUUUAUUGUGACUUUAUAGUCAUGGUGAUACUGGGUAGUGUAAGUCCUCCAACUUUGUUCUUCUUUACAAAAUUGUUUUGGCUGUUUUUUGUCCUUUGCAUUAUUAAAACAUACAUUUUAGGAUCAGCUUGUGAAUUUCUACAACAAAGCCCGCUUUGAUUUUGAUAGACAUUUCAUUGAAUUUACCUAUUUAUUUUAUCAGAGCAUUUCCCCAUGUUUUUAUAAUUCUGAUACUUUUAUCUGGGAUAGUUUUGGGGGCAUUUAUGGUGGGAAGAAGGGAGUUGGGCUAGAUCACCUUUUGAUUUCCUUUUUUGUCUUAGCAUUUGCUCAGUAUUUCCCCCCCUCCUCCCACAUAGUUGCAAAAGAGAUGAUAGGUCUUUAUAAUUGAGAAGCUCGUGGCUAUCAAUUUGUCAGUUGUUAGGAUCUUACUGAGUUCUCCCUGCAGGGUCCUAGGGUAACCUGGAGGAGAGUGAGAGGCUGGCGAUCACAUUGAUGGGUCAGUCAAUACGGGAGCGAUUACUCUUUGUGCCACCAAGAAUGUAGGUCCAAAGAUGAUUCAAGAUGACACAGACACGUGCACGUUAGUUGGCGGGCUGGGCAGGCAGCAAUUGCUUUCAGCAAGGCAUCUGCCAGACUUGUGGGGAAAGAGCAUUCCUGCCAUUUCCUGACACCACGCUCCGUGGGAGGCAGCGCCCAGCCCAGCUCCGAUGCGAUGCAGCAUACACACACGGAGCGCAGGAACUGACUCUCUGGCUUCUUCUGGAUCAAAUGGUACAUGGUGGGGUUUACAACCCUCACUGCUGAUGUUAUAAGGUUAGAGGCAAUGACCUUGGGAGAGUUUACACUCAAUUUAAUUUUUACUGUUUCAUAAAAUGGGAAUUGUUUUCUGCCAGUCAAUAAAAGCAGCGGGCCUCCUGCUGUGUAAUGGAUGUGGAUAGGCUAUUACUGUUUGUUAUAGCCGUUUAACUGCAGGACAGUCUUAUUAGUGGGGAUUUCAGAACGACAGGACUUUUGCCAGCCUCAGGGCUAAUUCUUUAUCCGUGUCAGCAUUAAUGCUGUUACAUAUAACGGGUUAUGGCCACUUCAGAGGCAGAGGAAAGUUCAAAGUCUCAGAAGUUUAAAAUCCACCAGAAAGGAAAGGAGCUGAGAGAACCAGGGGUCUGAGCAAUCAGGAGGUUCAGUGGAGACAUGUCUGAGAUGUAAGCCAAGCAAUCAGAUGUUCCAGGACAUAAUGGUCAGCCAACCUAGCAGGUAAAAGAAGCAUUAUUGAAGGAAUUAGCUAAAUCACAGAGGAGAAGCACAACGCUUAAGGCAAAAAUCAUCGUUGGUUUAGGGAUGGAAAAAUGAUCAAUCGUUUUCCCUGCAUGUUAUGAAAAACAAUACAAAACGUCCUAAAUAUGCCCAGUUGCCAAUUACCUAUCUAAAUUGAGCAGAAGUCCUAUUGAAGCUUAUUUGAAAGAGCGGGUUAUAAAAGGGAACAUGACUUGGCUUUGGAAGGCCUUAAAACUGUCCUCAUUAUACCAGUGUAGUGUAAUCUGAAAGUAGUUUUGCAGUCUUGCUCAUGGGCAAAGAUGUUGGCCUCAGAAGGGACGGGGAGAAGGUCGGAGUCCCAGGCCGUGCUGAAUAUAGGAAACAGAAAACCCACAGGAGAAUCGCUUCCUCAAAGCUGAUGUGUGGCAUUGAAGAAUACUGUGGGUAAAGAAGUCUGGUCAUGGGAAUGGGCCAGAGUUAUGUAUGUGUGUGUGUGUGCACGCGAAAGAGAGAGAGAGAUCUCCAAUUAUUCUUUGUGCCUCUAUUUAAAUUAGGUAGUGAUGGUUAUUAUAUUGGAUCCUUUUAUUUUGACAAUGCUUUACAGUUUAAAAGACAUGCUAACAUAUAACAUCUGUAGCGAGUUUAGGUGGGCCACUUACUGAUGGGACUGACUGGAAGAUCUGGCAAUAGCUUACCCCGUGUGAAUCCCAUGCCUUUCCCACCCGCACCAGCUCCCCUCCCACACUCCCAGUCCCUCUUACCUUGUUCUACUUUUUGCUUCUUCCGUAGCACUCAUCACCCUCUAGUAUACUAUUAGUUUACUUAUUGAUUAGGUUUGUUGCCUGUCUCUCCCCCACUGGAAUGUAGAGGGCAAGAGUCUUGCUUUGUUUUAUUCACUGAUGAAUAAAACACUGAUGAUUCAGGGAUUCACCUAGAACAGCGCCUAUCCUGUGGCACCCAAUGCAUAAUUGAUGGAAUGAAUAAAGACCCAAUAGGGAAGAAAAGGAGGAUUCUUAGCUAAAUAGGGAAGUCAAGAGUUAGAACUUCUUGCCACUGAGGCAAGGUCGUGGCACAGAAGGGAAGUGGGAGUUGUUCCAGCAGGCCGAGGAUUUCUGCUAAAACUGGUAUUUCCUGCAAUGAUCCCGAGAGAAGCAUCUCCCUGAACAGUGGGUCUUUAAUAGUUCACCUGCAGCAACACAGACUGGAAUAAGUCCUACAGAACUCCGUAAUUUGAUGAGCAGUCCUGAGGUUUUUCUUUUUUUUAAGAGCUUGCAGGCUUUGAGGGACUGAAGAGGGGUCCACGAAGAAGCAAUCCACCCAUCAUUUUAAAAUAUGUUGCUAAAAUUCAGUCACAGUGUUAAUUUUAAACAUAGCGUUUGUCCUUAUUUUCAAACCACUGCAUUUUAAUGAAGUUCAGUUUGCCAGGUCUGUACUUAAAAUACAUAGGCUUUAACUAAUUUAAGGAAAGGUCCACAAAGUGGCAAAUGCAUAGGAGGCCUACAUUCCAAAAGAGGAUGUUCCUGGAAAGCUCUAACAAUACAAGGGGGUUUGUUAAUAAUAGGUCCGUUUUAUGGGGAAACUAAGCACCAGAGAGGGCUGAUAAGUUGCUCACAGUCACACUUACUAAUUGGUUAUGCUAAGACAUUGAACAAGUUUGAGUCACCGGAUCAGGAGCAGCCAGUAUUCAAAUCCCACCGAACGUGCAAAUGAAAAGGGUCUUGAAGAGCAACUGACGUGAUUUCCUCAUUUUACAAAUUAAGACACAGGCUCAGUGUAUUAGUCCGGAUUCUCCAGAGAAACAGAACCAAUAGAACAUAUAUUUAUAAUCAUAAUUUAUUAUGUAUUUAUAUAAUAUAGUAUAACCUUUAUAGUAGUGUAUAUAUUUAUUAUAAGGAAUUGUCAAGCUGGAGAGCAAAGAGAGGGGAUGUAUAGUUUCAGUCUGAGUCUGAAGGUGUGAGAACCAGGAGGGCUGGUGCAGGAAGUGCCGGGCUGAGCCUGAGUCCUGAGGCCGGAGAUGGCUGAUAUCCCAGCUCGCAGAGCGAAUACUCCCUUACUCAGCCUUUUGGUUCUAUUCAGGGCCUUAGUGGGUUGGAUCGCACCCACCCACAUUAGGGAGGGCCGUCUGCUUGACUGAGUCUACAGAUUCAGAUGCUCAUCCAGAAGGACCCUCCCAGAUACACCCAGAAUAAUAUUUAACCAACUAUCUGGGCACCGCAUGGCACAGUCGAGUUGACGCAUCAAAUCAUCAUCACACUCGGAAGGUGAUUUGUGCACUGUCCCAAGUGAGCCAGGUCAGAGCUGUGAGGACCCUGCCACCAAGUUCCCAGCUCUUGUGCUUCCCUUCUCCACGCACCCUCACACCUUUGGAUCCGUGCAUGGAAAAUGCACAUUUCCCACAUCUCGAUUAUUAACUUAUAAUUCUUGUGUAUCUAAUUAGUUCCAGUUUAUGCAUAUUUAAAUAAUUUCUAACAAAUUUCUGCGAUGUCUUGUGUAUAGUUUUCCUCAAAUGCUUAGAAAGAUGCUAUUUAAUCUACAUAUUUAGAAGAAUACUUUACAAAUUAAAUUUUUCCCAAUAAAAGUAAAUGGUUCAUUACUGAAAUUAAGAUUUCUUAUCAGUGCACUGUCAGUCUGUGAAUAUGAUGUGGAAGAUGGUACAGGUAUUAUUGAGGGGGUUUAGUUUGAGAUAACUUAGAAAGAAACAAUGAAAUGUUUCUUUGAUUGCGACUAGGCAAAACAGGGCAUUUUCUGUUGCUUUAUUCUUGCUUCCUAAAUGAGAAAAAUUUGCUGGGUCUUUACACUAGUAUGACUUGAUUAAAUCAUCUCCAUAAAGAUAUUAAAAAUCCACUGAGUGUUCUAGAAAUCAGAAGAAUCAGAGUACAUCAAAGUAAAUUGGAAGAACUGGUGCAGUGGGUGCCCCUAGACAGAUUGUGUGAGGGGGAGAAGGCGGGCAGGCCACGGCUGCUUCCGCCCACUGGAACAAAUGGGGUUUAUUUAUCGUUCACUGAGGACUGCUCUAUGCCAGUGACUGUCGUGAAGGCAUUAGAGAUUUGGAAAUGUUGAGUGACUUGCAGGAGUCACGCGAGGACCCAGAGGCCGAGCAGCAUCUCAGCCAGGUUUAUCUGGUUACAGCUGAUUCCGGCCACCACCAUUUCGGCUGUGCAAGUGAAAGCUGAUAAACAUCACUGCGAUGCUUGUUAAACAUUCAGAUUCUUGGCCCUGCUCCCUUGACUUUCUGGUUCGGGAGGAUUGGAAAGGAGUCCAGGAACUGGUGUUCUUAACAAGCAUCCCAGAUGUUGCUAAGGCAGGUAGGUGGUGAACUUCCCUAUGAGAAACUGCCCUGCGCUCUGCGUAGUGCCCUGCAUCUUGAGUCUCAGCUCCCCAAGCCUCUGGGAGCUGUGUCUACUAAUGCGCUUCACUGCUUUCUUGAUUUUCCGUAGUCCUGAGCUGCAUAAAGCAAUAAAUACAUCAGUGUCUUCCACCCUGGCUUUUGGGAAGGCUAGGAAAUUUUAGGAUCACAUGCAGACUGGGGAUUUGAAGACCCACCAUGAUGCGUUGCUUCCUUCCUUUGAUCCUUGGACCUCCUUUCUGCCUCUUGGGCCUGUGCCUCUCUCGGUGGUUGCAGGAUCCCGCGGUCCUUCUGUGUUGUAGCUCAGCCUCCACACUUAGUGCUUCUGGCUUCUCUGUUCCCCCAAGCUCUGCCAGAUUGCGCUGUGAGUAUCCAAACCCUAUUAGAGAAGACGGGGCCGUUAUUCAUCCUACAGAGCUGUAACUUUGUACUCUGACCAGUAUCUCCCCAUUUCUCCUACCUCCCUGCUCCUGGUAACCAGUGCUCUGCUUUCUGUGUCUAUGAAUUAGACUUUUUUAGGUUCUUCAUCUAAGCAAGAUUAUGCAGUAUUUUUCUUGGUGUGUCUGACUUAGGUCACUUAGCAUAAUGUCCUCUGAGUUUAUCUGUGUUGUCACAAAUGUACAGCAUGGGGACUAUAGUUAAUAACACUGUGUUGUAUACUGGCAGCUUGCUAAGAGAGUAGUCUCAAAUGCUUUGAGUGUGCGCGCACACAAAUUGGUAACUAUGGGAGGAGUUGGAUGUUAAUUAGCUUGACUGUGGUAAUCAUUGCACUAUGUGUACGAAUUUCAAAACAUCAUGUUAUACACAUAUGCAAUUUUUAUCAAAAAAUACAAUAAAAUAAAAAAGAAAGGGAAGUUUAUUCUCUUUGUGCUUCUUCUCUGAGCAUCAGGGUGUGUGCCUAGCAGGGGUCUGGUGUCCUGGGCCGAAUCUCACAGAUGAGAGCUGAGUGCUGAGUGUUGACCAUAAAGACUCUCAACUCUUCCCCGUCUCUCCCAUCUGAUGACUUUUAACUGUAGGUGAAAAUCUUUGUCUCCUCAUCUUUCUCACGAUUUCUGGAGUUGUGACAGAGACUGUGGUGGUGCCCGGACUGCUCAGCCAGCUCUCAACUGUAUUUAAUUCUUGCGUUUUUAUGCUGCCUGGCCUUUUAUCCAAUCCUUGUCAUUUUCUUUCCCUCCCUGCCACCUUCCUGCCUGAGUUAAAAUCUUUUACAAAUUUAAUUUUCUGGCCCUUAACUUCAGAUAAUUCUCCUGUAUAAUUGUAAAUAAUUACUCUUGCUUAUUCUCAAUUGGUAGAUUUGGCUACUUUUAAAAAGUGAUUUUUCUGUUGCCCAUGUAUAUUAAUCUGCCAGAAUCUUGCUCUUCCAAGGUAUCAAGUGGUUAUUUCUUUUAUCAAGCUAGUUGUCCAUAUUUUAUCCCUGGAAAGCCUUAGGUUACAAACCCAAGUCCUAACUUCUAGCUCAAAAUCCCAAAUUGCAAAGAAAUUCUCCUUAUUGAUUUUGUAUUUUUCAAUUUCAAAAUGUUUCUUAUAAUAAUUUUAGAGGUGAAGAAUAUUAAAAAAAUAGAUAAAAGACCGUUCUUUCUUAUCUCGUUCCACACCCCAGGUCGGAUCAUCUUUAGAAGUUUGAUGUUUAUCCUUUGAAACAUCGUCUAUGCUUUUUGAAAUACGCCAGUGUGUAGAUAUUCGCAAACCUGAAAUCCCAGUGGUUUUUCUAAUGUAAUGUCUUUUACUUCAUUUUGAUUGAAAUGGUCAUCCUUAACUUUUAUAUAUCUAAUGCUUCUGGCAGAAUAAACUCUUAAUAAAAGUACUAGUUAUUAUGGUCUUUAUAAUUUUCACGUGAAGAAAAUAUAUUGCAGUAUAUGUAAAAUUGCUGAAAUAAAAGGUUUAAAAAAGAAGGUUAACUAGUUAAGGAAGGUUCUUCUUAACUAGUGGCUCCUGAUCUUGGCUGCACAGUGGAGUCACCUGGGAGCUUUGAAAACCAUGGGUGCCUGUGUCUCACCUUCAGAGAUUCUGACUUAAUUGCUCUGGCAUGUGGCCAGGGCAUCAGGUUUUAAAUGCUCCCCAGGUAAUUCUGUUGUAUAGCCAAGAUCGAGAACCACUGUUCUAAACAAAGAUUAAGGAUCAUCAGUGUUAAAAUGCAAAAUAUAAUUAGGAGCAACCCCUUGGAGAAUGACUCCCUUUCUUAAUUAAAGACUUUUGCUAUUCAUGUGACUCCCAUUAGUAUGAGGUUUUCUUAGAACACAAGCAAGCAACCAACCAGAAGGAAACACCUACUUCUCAGGUAGAUAGUCUUUCCAAAGGUAUCACGUCGGUUGGUGCUGUAGUGGGCAUUCACCUGACGCCACAUUGGGCUGUGUCAGGAGGCUGUGUGGCUCCACCUCUUUUCCAGAAACAACCUAAAGGUGAGGGAGGGUGCUGAGCCUGGGUGGAGGGGAGCAAGAAGAGGGCAAGGAGCGACUCAUCUGUUAAGGUCAAAUGUCAAAUGUGGAGGUUAGGCAGGAGUAGAUAAGGAAAAGGAAAGAAGAAUAAGGAUUGGUUUGGGAGAAGGUUGCUGGGGUGGCUGUUAUGUCUCCCAAGCGUAUCAGCCACAAAUGAUGCCAAUUCCUGAUUCUGAGUCAAGAUCUUGCAGAAGUCUCUACUCCAGUGAGCCAGGCUAGGAUCUGGCCCCACUACCCUCCACUCCCAAAUUAGGAGUGGCCUGAGCUAAUUGCUGGGCAGGUAGGCUCCAGGUUGACAGGGACCCUCAGGCAUGACUCCCAUCAGGCUCCAACAACAGGAGGGGGUACGCGAAGAAGACACCUCAGGUCCCUCAGCUGUGGAACCCUCUGAGAGCUCAGGCAGUCACAGUCCAGUUUUCCUCGGGUGCAGUGCAAAUGUGACUCAUUUUAUGUUCAGCCAAACUUUUGAGGACACUGAGCUAUGCCUUCAGUGGGUGAGAGGUAGAGAUUUUGCAAAUGAUCAAGCAUCUAGUUGUACAUUUGCAACUGUUUAUCGGGGUUUGGACAGGAAGAAGGUGAGUGUGCUCCUUCCCAAUAUGGUGUGCACGACGGGCCACUGCUGACAGACGUGUGCUCCUGGACGGCCUCCCUGAAAGCUCUCCACCUGAGCAGAAGCGUUUCGUCAUUGCUCAUUCCCUCGCAGUUCUGAAAAGAAUGACUUUUUGUUCUUUGAAAGAAUCAUAAUAAAGUAAAAUGAUGGAGAUUCAAAGCUAGGAUUUUGUACGUAUAUGCUAGUGUGCGUACUGUGUGCAUGGGUAGUUUAUUUAAAAUCUGUUUCAAGAUUGAGACAUUUCCUGCAGUUUUCCUUAAGAAUUUUUAUUGAAAUUUGUCUAAAUGAUAGAGAAUGAAUAAAUUGUUUUCUUUUUCUCUCCAACGGAUUCUUAUGGAGGUGCCGGUGUGUGCAUGCCUGAUGGAGAAUUCCCGAGUCCUAGAAGGGUCAUUGGCCACGCAUUUUUAGUUGCAGCAGAAGAGCACUAUAAACACAGGGAUUCCGGGCUCUGCUUGUGGUGGUUCUUAUUCACGCAGACACUCAGCUAUCUCAAGCACUGUGAUCAGAACACCGCACUCAACUGCGCUGACUGCUCGCUGAUGCUGGAGCUGCCCAUCAACAGGGCCAGAAGUCUGCAGGAAGAGGGAAGCAGGGCCAGAGCACAGGUGUCCAUGCCACUUUGGAUGUCCUCUUAGUAUUGGAGCCACAGUGCCAGUGGGGACAGGGAUGUCACCUCAAGCUUUAAUGCACACCCACCAUGAAAUCGUUCUUUGGCACCUUGCUGAACUGGUUCUCCUUGGGAUUAGCUCUAACCCAGGGAAGGAGGAACACUAUGGAAAGGGUGCAGAUGGAGCAAAAGCCUCGUCCUCUUUUCAAAGAGCUUCAGAUAUUUCAUUGCCACAUGAAAAUAACAGAAGCAUUGUCAAAAGAACCAUCCAUCAGAGAAGCUUUGAUGAGUUAGCUCAACCUGUGUGCAAAAACAAAAAUGAAAGUGUAAGAAGCCUCUUCAGGAGCAUGCCGCCAUGACUGCAUAAUGAAAAUUGCUUCCUCUCAGGCCAUGAUUUCUUCUUGGCUAUGUCAUUAAGUCUUAUGAAAACCUUAGUAUUGAGAGCUAAAUGAAAGCUUGUGAGUUUUGGUCUCCCAUUGUGAAUCUAGCUUAUGUUGGAGAAUUAUUUCCUCAGUUAGCCUUCUGAGUGUUAAUAUAUUGCAGAGUUUAAACACAACUGCAUUGGGCGUUUCCAUUUAAAACAGAGCUUUUACAUGAUUCAUGAUGGGUAUUUCACAUUUCCCUCUUUCUAAAGAUCUAGGAAAUUAUUGUACAAGUUGUAAGUAAUGUGUCUGUAAGAACAAAGCAAUAUGUUUUAAACAGCUCAAGAUCAUUCUAUGGAAAGCUCCAUUCUAUCUAAUGCAUAUACACCUUAGCAGCCUUUCUCUUGGGAAAAUGUGAAAUAUGAUGCCCUAUGGAAUUGUAGAUUGGUAAGCCUAAUAUUUGUUGUUCUGAAAAUCCUUUUGUAAGAAGUUAGAAGAAAGUGUAUCCAUCUAAGUGUUAGAAGGGCAGAAUUCUGGGUUCAAUUCCUCUCCUUUUAGCUGUGUGACCUGAGACAAGCCAUGCAACUUCUCUGAGUCCAAAUUUCCUCUUCUUUGAAAUGGGCAAACUAGCUUUUACUCAACAUUCUCCUGAGUUGUAAAAAUCAAAGAAGAUAUUAGAUGAGACCGUGUUUGAAAGCAGCUGUAUACAAAACAAAUGAAAAGUUGAGACAAUCUAGAAAAUAGUGUGAAUUGUUCUAUUUAGUAAACUGAAUAUGUUGUCUUAAUUGCUCAUAGUGGACUCCCACCCUCAUCCCCAGGCUGAGGCCUGCAGUUUGCGUGUUUCAGCCUGUUAUCCCAUCUCCUCCCUUUCAGAGGUUGAUGGUCUGGGGUUAUCAGGAGUUAGGUCAUAGUUCACAAGAGGCGUCAGAUGGAGCCUCAUCAUCAAAAUAACCCAGGAGAUUAUCGGUAGCUACUAACAAUUGGAAGUCCGUGGUUUUCACAGUUGUACCACUUCCUUCUUGUAGUGAAUGUUUUGCUAUAUCCAAGGUCUAAUGGGUUUUGAAGGUGGGACUGAUGAAUUCAUAGGUUUCUCGAUCUACCUGGUUGGUAGGAUUCUCUCAAGUCUGUACAGUGGAGCACAGCAUUAUUUUGAACUUGGAUAUUUAACCUUGUAGCAUUCUCUUAGCAUUCUUUUUAAUUGAAGGGUUUGUUUUGUUUUUAUUUUUGCCUGCGUCUCUCAACAAAACCUUUUAGAGUUUUUUCUUUUUCUUUUUUCAGUAAACAAGUCUUUAUCUGACAAAAGGAAAUAGCUGGAGAUAUACCUUCACAAAACCCCCAAUGAUAUUCCCCUGACGUGUGCUGUCCCAGUUUUAUAAAUUAGAAAUCUGGUCAUCUCAGCCUAGUCUCUGAGCAGCGCCAGCUGUCUUCUCUUUCUAACGCUGCAAAGAUGCUUUGAAGCUUCUUCUGUAUUGUGUUGGCAACAUUAGCACAGAAAGAUUUGAAGACUAUAAUAGCUGGAAAAGGUUACACAGCCUCACAUAAUUGACUAUGGCAAUAUAAAAUAUUGCCUGCUCUGUUUUGUAACAAAGUAGGUAUUGCUUUCUUUCGGAUUUGAAGGGAAACAAAGUAAAGCAGAAUUGCCUUUGCUAUUAAGUUUCCAGGUUAAAAGCUGCAAAUCUGUGUUGUAAAGUGUGUCUUUCCUGGCUGUGUAUAGUAAAUUACCAUCCUAUCCUGCUGUACAGACAAUAUGUUUCCAGCUUAAUGAAUCAGGUGCUUUGUAUUUUCUCCAGCUAUUUAGUGUAGGGCAAUUGGGCUCAUAAAAAGAGGAACAGCAUUGAGGGACAUCAGUUAGUUUAGUUUGUCUGCCUUCAAAUAAUUGUCAGGUAAAAUAAUUAUGUGGAUUUUUUUUUUAAUUCAAGAGAUAAAGUCGAAAUAUUUUGGUUUUUUUCCUGUUAUAAAUAAAAAUUCAAAAUGAAUCAUACUUAUCUGGAGAUUGCUUUGCACUGCAGCAGCAACUGUUAGUCGCAUGCUGAACCCACUCAGAGAGUCCUGGUCUGAGGAAGUAGAUUUCUCAGUGAAAGAACUGUUUGUUUAUGUUACUAUUGCACAAUUUGAAACCAAAGGGCCAGUUAGGGUUAAUGUUACUUUUACUUUGUGUGGUUUUGGGUUUAUGUAUUUGCUUGAGUCUGAUAGGCAUUUAGGAAAACAUCUGUGAAAGGACCAGAUUCAUUCUUUCCAUCUUCAUUACUGUACCUUUAAAAAUGAAAGUGACGAGACACUCUUAAACAACAGAGCCAUUCUGGGAACUCCUCUGAGGAGCUCUUAAGAAUUUAAACACUAUUCAAACAAUUUUCACAAGACAAAACCACUAUUGGAGCACUUUGGAAACAGGUAUCAGGGCAAAAUAAAAAUUUUCUAUAUUUAUAUGUUAAACCAAGAAUCACAAAGUCAAAUUCAUCGUAAGGAAGAAGAUAAAUGCUGUACUAAUGGCUACUACCAGGGUUUACAAAAGGAAAGAGCAAUAAAAAGACUGCUUCUCAGGUAUUUUAGAAGUAAUAGAAAUAAGCCUCUAAAGAGAAGCAUAAAAUAUUUAUUGAGGAGUACACUGAACACUCUAGAAUUACGCAGGGCUGGUGACAGUGAUUAAAUGUUCUGUGGCUGCAUAGAGAGAUGCUGAGGUUUUUAUGUACAAGAUAUUGAUUACAUGAUGAAUCCCAACAGUCUGUUUCCUGCAGUUGCUUGCAACAUGGGGAGAAAUGAAAAUAACACAUAAAUUUUUGUAGGCUACAUUGCAUGCAAAAUGGAGCAGGUGAUGAGCUAAAUGAUUGAUGAGUUUCCUUCUCCCAUUCAUAAACGUGAGCAUUGCGUAAUGAAUUAAUCUGUUUGAAACCAGGAACUAUAGCUAUAGCAUACAAUUAUAAAAAAUGGCAAUGGAAUACUCACAUUUUCAGUUCAAACUUAAGACUGAUUCCUUUUUUUGGUUUUUAUUUAAAAUCUCAAUGUGCAAUGCUGCUUACUAGGAUUUUUUUCUAUUGGCAGCAUUCAAGCAUAUGAAAUAGAGGACCCUUACGUAAAUUAAAGAAAAAUAGGGAAAAAGUUGCACAUUUUGAAAUGAUUUGAUGGUGUUUCUAUUUCAAAGUUCCUAUGUAGAUGGGUGCUACAUAGAUUAUAUUAAAUCUUAGUUACUCCUCUGAUUCUUAUCAACACCUUUUAUUUUCUUUAUUGCUUAACAUCAAGCUUUAAUUUUGAAUAUAGUUACUCCUAAAUAAGAAAAAAAUGGUUAAGAAGGAAAACAGAAACACAGAAUCAGCAGCAGGAUGACUGGAUGCAAAUGAGAACUUGAGUCUUAGGAAAAGGGAGUUAAGACAGCCUGAAAACGACCAAAACAACUCGCCUAUCCACAUGACUCCAGCCCGCUUUAUCCUCCAUGCUACGGUUUCCAUCAAAUUCCCCACUGACCAAACCCUCUCUUGACCUUUUCACAUCCUCACAAGAGUCAACUCAAAGAAAGGAUCAGCUACCCAGUCUUGUUUCUGUGCUUUUUCUUCAGUGUUCGUGGAAAAAAAAUGGAGUCAAGUGUCAAAGUGAACAUCAAAGUUGAAUCAGAAAAUAAAAUAAGACCUAGCAGAAAGCUCUUUGUAAUCCUAUUGUCUCUUUUAAAAGCUUCACCCUAAUGGAUGAUGAAAUGAAAAGGUGAAGUGGAGUUCAGGAGAGAGAGAGUUUAUGGUUAAUGGGCUUUGGAUGGAAUUGCGUCCCAGGGCAUUUGUCUCCUUGCGUUUCUUUAGAUAAGAAUAUCUUCAUAUAUUUUUACAGAUCAUAGAAUAUAUCUGUAUUUAUAUACAAAUAUGUUUAACUCACAAAUUGUUUACAAGUUAUGAUAUAUGAAGCACAUAGUGUAUCUUAUACUUGCAAGUAUAUUGUGCAGUAGGUGAUGGGGAAGUGUCGUGCUAAAUUUUAAGGGUGAAAGCAAUGUGAAUGCUGUUUUGCAAUUUACCCACUAGGAAUGGUAGGCUGCGAUAUGAAGGAUGAUUUAUUUAAUAAUUAUCUCAGUGUAAAAUUUAAAGGAUUGAAGUCAAGAAAUACAUUUCAGGUGUUUCAAAUUGAAAUGUAAUAUUUAGCACAGGGGAAAAUGUUAGAGAAAUCUUAAUAUUUAUAAAAAAAUUAUUAGUAAAACUUCCAAACAUUUAUAAAAUUAGAGAUAAUAUUAUGAUGAACCCUUAAGUCCCAUCACUCAGCUUCAACAUUGUCAAUAUAUCGCCAAUCUUGUUUCAUCUAAAUCCUUGAACACUUUCCUCCAUCAGGGGAUUAUUUUGAGGGAGAUCUCAGACAUCAUAGCAUUUCUUUCAUACAUACUUUAUCUCUUUAAAAGGAAAGUUCUUCUUUUUUUAUAAAACAAACUACUAUGCUACUAUCUUGCCCAAAAUUAGCAAUUACUCCUUAAUGUCAUGAAACAGUUCGUCAGAGUUCAGAUUUUCCCUAAUUGCCUUACACAUGAUUUUUAGACUUUCUUUGAAUCAGGACCAAACACGUUCACAUCUAGGGGAUCCCAUUUUUUUUUUUCUUAUUACAAUAAGUCCUGGAAAAGAAUAUACCUUUUGGAGCCUAGAAAUCUACUUUUACAGAUCCAUCUGAUGGUUCUGCCUUAUCUUUAUAGAUUUGGUUAUCUUUCUUGAAAAUGUAAUCCUUCUCUUAGGUGUUUUCCUCUGAAGAAUCAUUCAGACCGAGGCACCUUUUGAGGCACUGACUUUCUUUUAUGAAUCCUACAAAAGAAAUGAAACUCUCUAAAGUAAACGGUGACCCAAGAGUCCGAUGACAUUUAAUUUGGGCACUUAACGUUUAUGUGGUGGCCACAACCACCAUGAAUCUAAAGUGUGUUCUUUCAUCUGUUUUAUCUUGUCAAAAAUUUCAUGACUUUGACCUUUUCUUUUCCCACAAUCUAUACAUAUAUAGUAGAAUUUUAAAAGUAUUUUUGGCAAUCAAGAUUUUCUUCUGAUCCUUGUGUGAAAAAAGAAACAUUUAUGAUCUUGAAAAAAGCAUAUGUUAACUUCCUUUGAAUUCUUUAGAUCAGCUAAAAGAUGAAUUUGCCAUUUUAAGAAUAUAAUAUCGAAAAGAUCUGUCUUCAAAGUGAACCCAUGCAGGAAUACUUUUUUAUCUUAGGGAAUUUAUAUUUUUUAAAGGAAACAGUAACCAAAUUUGAAAACCAGUGUGUACCCAAUAGAUCAAGCUUUUCAAAGAACCAUGUCUCAAAAAAUAGAGCUUUUGAUUUCUUAAAAUGAUCUCUGAAGUCCCAUUUUGAAAUACAUAAAUCAACAAAUUGAAUUUUAAUGGAAAAUCAAGGGUAUUUUUUGAAAGACUCCUGGAUGAAGCUUUGAAAAAUAUGAAGACAGAGAAUUAUCAGCUAGUUAUAACAGCAUUGACUUGAUUCCAAUACUUUAUUUUUAAGUGAAAAAAGAUAUAGCAUCAAGGACAAAUGAAGCAAGCAGCUUGUUUAAAAACAGAACUGGCACAUCCCACCUUUUUCCCCCUCUGUGGGUUUUCUUCUCAGCCUGCUGAACCAUCUGGCAAAGCACCAACCGCUAAAAUCAUAAUCGCAUGUUCUACAUCCACUUCAAUAAAGUUAUAAGUUGCCUCUUUAUAAUUGUCGCUGUAUGUUUAUCUUUUGAUUAUAAAAUAAUAAAAUAGAAAAUGAGGCCACCAUGUUGUACAGCACGUUCAAUAAAAUGUUGGUAUAGACUUCCUCCCAUUCAAUAAUAUAAUAUUUAAAAUAUAAAAACGUGUGGAUUUCACGUACAUUGUCUUUGUGAAGUAAUCUGUGAGAUUUAUAUUAUUAUUCCCAGGUACAGGUGGAGGAACUGACACCUGGGGUUGGAUGAGCAGCCAGUGUUCACGGUCCACGGCAGGGGUAUUCCCCAGGUUUGGGUUUUAGCUACAAGUCACACGUGCGUUCUACCUCAUUGUGCUUUAUGUACUAAUCCACAUAAGAAAAAGGACAAAUGCAAAGUGAUAAAAUACAAUUUCAGACUAGGGAGAGCUUCCCUUUGAGUGGGAAAAAUUGAAGAAAUAAGCCAAUAAGCGGGAGAAAAUUGAGAGUAAUUGCUAAAGGGCCAGAAAAUUAAAAUGGCAUAUCUCUUCUAGAAUGUGCUAAAGGCCGUAGAUCUAUGCUUGUUCCUCUGCAAUUUGCUCUUCUGUGUGUUCUCUCAAUCAGGAAAAUGGUGAUCGCUUUAGCCUUUGCUAAGUUUCCUACAUUGUGUAAUUACAACAAAUAUAUAGUCAUUGAGAAAGGAAGUUAUUUUUCAGCUAAGGAUGCCAAUGUGUCAUAAUGAGUAAAGACAUUAUUAAAUCUUAAAUAAGUAUAGAUAAUGGGUAAUAUGUCAUGUAUUAUUAUGCUUUAAUUUUGAGUGUAUGUAUUUGAUUCAUGACCAGUGGGAAUAUUUAAGCUGUGUAUAGAGAGGACAAAAAGAGAAACACUGCUUGUCUUGUUAUACUCGCAAUCUGCUUCUUGAGCCUUUGGCUUUAUUUCAUCCACACUCUGGCCUGGAAUCUUUACUAUCUGGUUCCCAGGAUAGUUUGGCUUAGGGAUGGUGUAUGUGUCUGUGUAUAUGUGCGUUUACAUAAAGACUUUCAAAGUUCCCUGAAUUUGGGGUACUAUGGAGUAGCUAUGUCAUUUAAUCUAGUCAAAAUUGGUCCUAUCUGGGAUUCUCCUGAUAAAUGCUACUGGAACAAAUUAUUUUUAUACUUGCUUCAAUAGCAUAUCAUAUUGCUUAAUACAAACUAAAAAAAAAAAAAAACCCCACAACAAAAUAGAACUAAGAUUGUGUGUGAAAACUCUUUAUAGUUCGAAUAAUAACCUUGACAGUUCAACCCUUCAGUAGAGUUUUAUGUGAAAAUGUUACUGUGCUGGUUUUCUAGCAUGGUUUGUUUCCAUGAAUUAUUCUGUUUGGAACCCUCUGUACUGUGUAGGGUUGGCUUGUGUAUUUGCCUGCUUCUUGGCCUGGGGUUUUCUUGUGAUUUAUGCUCGUCUAGUCCACAGGAGUUUUCGGAAGAGCUCCCAGAGGUGUAGUGGCCCCAGUCUGUGCCCGGGUGAGGGAGGAUGAUCAAGCCUUUGCAUUGUGCUCUGCUCCUGGUUCACCUCUGCAAGGAUUUCAUGCUGAAGGAGAUCGAACUCAAUGAAUUCUGUGACUACACAUUCGAUAGACACACUUUCGGGGUGUGCCUUCUUCUGCUCUUUAUCCAUAAUCUCUUUAUUUCAUUUCAUUAAAUGGUUACUUCAGUUAGUCUGCAACUUAAAAGAAAUUUGAAAUACUUUUUCGUUUUUGCUGCUGUAUAUUCACUUUUUUUGGAUGUACUUACCUUAUUAAAUCUGCUAUUACUUAGGCAUUGUUCUACGACUACUUGUCUUUUUUUCUAUAUCUUAUUGCUUUUCUAAAUCCGCUUAUUUCAUAUGGCCCUUUAAUAUUUAAAUUUCUUAUUCUUAAUUUCUUCGAUACAUGUUUAGCUAUUUUUUUAAUUUCAAAACC